GUAAGAAUGUAGGGAAACUUGCAUUUAGAGAAUAUAUAAAAUCUCAUAUAUUCCAACAAAGAAACUGAAUUGCUGGAAAUCCGUAAAGCUGGUGGAACCACAACGUAGGGAUAGCCAAACCCAAGCGUGACGGUGGCGAAAGCAGAAAAAAUCAAUCAGAUGGCAUAAGGUUAAAUCCUAAGUGCUAUACAAUCGGAAAUCAGCAGCCAAGCCUAGAAAUAGGAAGGUUCAACGACUAUUCCUCUUGAGGGAAGUACACACAAGCGUGUGGAAGUGGUUUCGCCGUACUGGGUAAAUCCAACGGAUAAGAUAUAGUCUGUGCUUGCAUGAAAGCGUAAG
rnacentral:ncRNA from 2 species